CCUCCCUCCCGCACCCGCGCCUCCCCCACGCCCAGCUCCUCCCGCCUCGCCUCUCUCUCCCUCAAAACCCUAACCCGCGCCCGCCUCCCAGCCCCGCCGCCGCCGCCUCCUCUCCUCUUCCUCCCGCCCGCGCCUCCCUGCCCCGCUCCCGUCCAGGGCCAGCCCCACACCGCCGUCAUCUCGCCUCCGCGUCCUCUUCCUUCCUCUCCCUCUGCUCCGCCCGCGCCCGCUCCCUCCAGGGGCGACGGCGGCAAGGACGGCGUGCUGCGCCCGCUCCCUCCGCGAGGCUGACUGACCCUGCCUCGCCGAUCCUCGCCCAGUCACCGACCCGCUCCUCUGGAGGCGGAGGAACGCCUCGCGGGGGAUGCCAUGCUCGUGUGGUUCCUCUUCGAGCACGCCGGGUACAGCCUCGCGUCGGUCCUUUCCAACGCCGUCCUCCUCCUUGCCGUCAUCCUUUUCUUCUGGGCCAAGUCCGCCUCGCUGCUUGGUCUCAGGUUGCCGCGCCGUCCUCGUCUUCGGCUUGCAAGGGAUUGGAUCUGAUGUGAUUGAUUCUUCCACUCGCAAGGUUAUGAUGGCCGACGAACAGCUCCAAGUUCAUGGGUCACCGGGCUCGCCGGGUGACGCUGGCUCCAACAGUUGUCUGCGAGCAUUUGCCCAGGUCAAUUGAUAUUUGUCGUGGCCCUUCUCUGUUUUUACUUGGAAAAAUAUAGUCCGUAUGUGCCUCAGUGAUUUUUAAAAUCAAAGGAAAUGCUCUAUGCAGAAAAAUACAGAUCUAAUCUAGGGGGUAUAUGUAAUAGCGGUAGAUAAAUAAUAAUGUUUAGAUUCAGGCAGUAUACUACAGUCUGCCUUCUGGAGAGGGGGCCUAUGCUUGCUGAGUUCUUUGUAUGGUGCCUUCCGGGAGGCUGUGCGGUGCCGAGCGGAUGUACGGCGAGGUCUUCAUAAUGGCGUCAAGUCACCCUUGCCAUAUGGAUCAUAUUCUCAGUUUGCACUUUGUUCUGCAACAUGAAAAUUUGGACUGCUCCUCUUCAUCUCCAGCCUCUGGUCCACUGCUUCUCUGGUUUUAUAAAAAGGGCUGCAGUGACAACUAAGCAUCCGAUAUAUAAUAACAUCAUGCAAGGGGCACGGAGCGUCGAUCCAAUAUCCACCAGCGAUGAAGGAAGUGGGGAUGGACAUCCGUCGAUCUGCCGUCCCUGCUUUGUGGAGCCCAAGUAUACUUAUUGACAGGGUUUGUCUACACUUAUCUUUAAGGCUACAACCUGGAGUCUCAUGGGUGUGAAGAUGAUCUAGGGCAUUGCUUUGUUAGGGGUUCACUUAUGUACAGGAAUGUCAUGUUCUUUCCCGUGUAAUAUAUUGUGGUUUUUUUUCUACUCAACACCAUCUGGACUAUGUAUUACUGUAACCUGCUCUAUGUUUUGGGUCUAGGCACUGGACCAUGGUGCUGGACAGGGCAUGACGCCCUAAGACUGCUCUUUGGGAUUCCAAUAUACUUGGAGAUCGCUAGAAGUGAAAGUUGAGGACCAACAUGUAUGUUGUAUCAUGGAUGUCCCCCUUCAUAGCAUUGUUUUAUGAAAUGUACUAACACUCCGAGAAGGUUGCUCUGAGUAUAUUUGUUACAACAAAGUAUGCUUUGGUAUGAAACUUGCCAAUGUUGUGUGAUUAACCUUGAUGUUUAGUACUGAAUCAUUAAUAAGUGUUUACUAACCUCCUUUUUGAGAUGUUACCUUUGUAGUGAAGUUGUUUUUGUUAUAACUUUAGCCUAUGUUGGGUAGCUGCCUUGCUUAUAUAUGGAUGUGCUGCAAACUUUGUUUUAGAUUAGGACAUGUUCGUGCUAUUAGUACUAAACUUAAUGGAAGUGGUUGCCUUUCGUGGUCUCAUGACUCAAUGUCUUCUAUUAGAAGUGAAUGUUUCAUCCUUCUUUUAUUUUGUUAUCCUAUUUGAAUACUUACGCUAAACCAUGAUUACUACUUGCUUGACCACAUCGUUGGGACCGGCACCCUCGCGCCAAGGCGCGUUGCCGAUCUAGUCAGUACAAUUAUCAAUGGAAACACCGACUCAUCAACUAAUAACAGUAAAAAGGC
rnacentral:rRNA from 1 species